GUGAUUGGUUAAUCAGCAGAGCAGGACCGACCAACAGGAGCUGGCCACUGGAGGAGAGAAACACCGGGACACUGAGCACUGAUCAGGCAUGACCAAGGAGACAAACAGGUGAACGAAGACUCGGGGAAGCUGAAAGUGAUUCAUUUUGGUCUUGUUUGAAAACAGCCUUUGACCUUUUCUUUCUCGACUGUAAACUCCAUCUUUUUUUAUGCAUUUUUUUAAUCAAAUGUAUUCUGUAAAUAUAUCUGAUAACUGAUCUAGCUCUAUUCUGAAAUGUUGAUGUGUGAUUAGCCUAAGAAUUAUGAAUUUAAGUCUAAGUCAAAUGUCAAUAAUUAUGCUGUCUUGCUAGUAGGUUUUAUUUUAACAGAAUGUUGUAUAGGCUAUAUAGGCCUAGCCCUGUACAGCCCCAUCUCAGUUCUCUCACCCAGCCCUCCUGCUGAAAAAUUGUGUUUUACAUUUUCUGCCCAUUUAAUUGAAUUGUUCUUUAAUCCCAGCCUCGUUUAAAACAGUGCAGUAAUUAGGCUUUUUGUUUUUCAUGAUUGACCCUGGUCACCUUUUACAGUAUCCUAAUACAAAACUGUAAACUAGCCUAUUAUAUUGCUGUAUUAAAGAGGUUUUGUAUCUUGUG